GGGGUUAAAAAAAAAAAAACUUAAAACUUAAUGCCCUAAAGCCCCUAAAGCCCAUCACGGCAACACAGCAGCAACAGCCAAGUCAGUCCACUGCGACACUGCAGUGCCCACGCGAUUCUCAAUUUCUCAUUCACAGAGCGCCAUUUCACUCGUCAGUUCAUCCCUUCAUCAAUUUCGUUUAGCAGAUUUUGGGCACUUAGGGUUUCAUUUUCAACCUCGCAAAAUCGUAGUCGCCGUCGCCGACUCGCCGCCCAUCGCUCACCGCUCACGCCUUCACAGUCGCCGUCGUCGAUUUGCCGCCCAUCGCUCACUGCUUCAAAAGUUCCUCAUUGAUCUUUUAAAAUAACAGGUUUUAAGUACUCCAUAUAUGAAUAGUACUGGAGCUGCUUCCAUCCAACAUCAGUAGAUUGCCUGCAUUGAGGAGAUGCCACGAAAGCAUUCAAGGGCCUCCCUGUUGUUGAAAUCUCGGCCUAUCACUUUCUCCCCAUUUGCUCGAUCAAUUGCUCUAGCUGCCUCUGCUUACAAGCUCAAAUGCUACAUGCAUCAUCCAAGCUUUGAAAGGAAAUCACCUCUCCACUCUGCAGGCAAUGGAUAUAUGAGGCAUGAUUUGGAAGAGGAGAGUGAACAGUAUGAGUCUUCUGACGAGGAAGUGUCUGGAGGUGUUAUCCAAGCAGAUUUUGCCUUCUUUGAUCCAAAACCCAGUGACUUCCAUGGAGUUAAAAUCUUGCUGCAGACUUACCUUGAUGAUACACAAUGGGAUUUGAGCAGUUUUGUAGACUUGAUCUUGGGACAGAGCACAGUAGGGACGGUUGUUAAAAUAGAGGAUGCAGAAGAUGAUGGACUUUUCUGUUUCAUUACUAUUCUUAACUUGGGGAGAUAUAAGAAUCAUAAAUGUAUUACAGAGGUCAAGGAAUAUCUGCUCAAAGUAUGCCAGAACAAGGAUGUAGCAGAUGACCUGAGAUCACUGCUGGGGAAGCAAGCGCAUGAUGUUGGUCUUUUAGUUUCUCAGCGUGUUAGUAAUCUUCCUCCCCAGCUUCUGCCACCUCUUUAUGAUGCCAUAUUUGAUGAGAUCUCAUGGGCCACCGAAGAUGAGCCAACAGAAGAGCUUCGUGACUCCUUUUGCUUUAAAUUUUAUCUACUGGUUGGUAAAAUCCUCAAGCAUAAGAAUGCAGACCAGAAGAAAGGGGCAAGUUGUUGCAGUGAUGAGUCAAUAGUAUAUUUUAAUGCUGAAGAUGAAAUUUUUCACAAGCUCAGCACAUGGUCCUUCAGUUUUUCCUUGCACAAGCAGCAGCUUGCUAGUUCUGAGGUGGAAGAUGCCAAUAUGGAGAGCAAUACAUCUUUUGAACCGUGGAAAUAUAGUUGCUGAUAUUAGCUUUUAAUUCAUACUAUUUUGUUUGUUGUAAAAGGCAAGGUCGCGAGCCUCAAGAAUCAAGAAGCCUAGUAUGAAUGGUUGUGAUGGUAUACUGAGGCAGAUUUGUAUUCCACCUUUUUUUUAUUUUAUUUUAUAAUAUUUCCUUGAGCUUAAUAUAUUCAGUCUUGCCUCCUUGAAAAAUAAAGAAAUAAAUAAAUGGAAUUCAACUGAAUGCAGUUCACAUAGAAAUCCAACGCUGCUUGGAAUGAACAGAAUUUUAAAUGAGUUUUAUUGACUCGUUUUCUUGGAAAAGAAUUGACUAUAUUAUAAUUGUAAAUUGUCUAUUUUUUCCUUCAUAAAUAGUGGGAUGAAAGUUGAAAAGCUCGGGCAAUAAUAUCAUUUCAUGCUGACAGCUCCCAACUUCUCACAGAUUCUUAACAAGUCCACUUUUUCGGUCAGACUUGUGCCUCAAAAGAUGAAUCUUUAGAGUUGUUCAAGCCUAGGUUUAAUAGAAAAGGAAAAAAGAAAAACAGUAUGAUUUGCAUAUUUUUUCUUUUGGGUUGGGUGGUUUCUUCUUUUCUUUCCCCUUUAUUUUUUUGUUUGGGAAGAGUUGGAUGGGUUUUUUUUUUUUUUUUUCCCUUCACAUUGUUUCCUUUGCGAGAAGGCAACUUCUUUUUCAAUCUGCUUUGCAAGUUUGGAAGGUCGAAAAUUUUUUUUCUAGUUUUAUUAUCUUUUAAUAAGUGAAAUAGCUGACAUACUUUGUUUGCUGAUAGAGAAAGGCAUAUUAGAAAUGGGGUUAGGAUUCCAUUCUUCCAUUAGAUAUCCCACUGAAAAAAUAUUCUGUAUUGUAUUCUUUUGUAUUCCUGAGCCACACCUAUAGUUGGCAACUUGUAAGCGGAAGCUUUGAAUCUUUUUAUUCAAGCAUAAGCAUGUUCAUAUGUACAUCCCAAUAUAUAAUACUAUUACUUAUCCUGAACAAGGAAACAAUCCCCUUACUGAAUAAAAUCAAAUCCCCUAUAUUUACCCACUUUCCUAAUUUGUGUAUUAUUUACAAUGAUACUUGGGAUUGAGAUUUUAACACUCCCCCCCAAGUUGGAUCAUAAAUAUUAAUCAUUUCUAACUUGCUGAUGAGAUCCUCAAAGUUUUGUCGUCCCAACCCUUUAGUGAAAAUAUCUGCAGUUUGUUCCUUGGUAGGUACGUAUGUCAUACAGAUAAUCCCAUCUUCAAUUUUCUCUUUGAUGAAGUGUCUAUCUAUUUCCACAUGUUUAGUCCUGUCGUGUUGAACUGGAUUAAGAGAGAUGCUGAUAGCUGCUUUAUUGUCACUAUAGAGUUUGAUAGGAAAGUUCACAGGAACCUGUAAUUCCUCCAAGAGUUUUCGUAAUCACAGUCCUUUAUCCCUUGAGCGACUGCCCUGAAUUCAGCUUCAGCACUACUACGAGCCUCCACGUUUUGUUUUUGCUUCUCCAAGUUACCAGAUUUCCCCAGACGAAUGUACAAUAACCUGUGGUGGACCUUCUAUCUUCCACUGAUCCUACCCAAUCUGCAUCCGUAAAGAUCUCUACUUUCUUGCUUUCACAUUUCUUAAAGAAAAGUCCUCUUCUCGGGGAUCCCUUGAGAUAUCUAAGGAUCUUGUACACGGCAUCUAAGUGGGCUUCUUUUGGUGAAUGCAUGUGUUGACUUACUACAUUGGCUGCAAAUGCAAUAUCUAGUCUAGUAUGUGAUAGGUAGAUUAGCUUACCAACCAAUCUCUGAUACCUCUCCUUUUCCACUGGUAUUCCACAGUUUUCAGCUCUCUUUACCGCUUCCAUCGUGGUUUCGCUGGGUUUGCAUCCCAGUAUGCCAGUUUCAAUUAGGAGAUCAGUAAUAUACUUUUGCUGAGAAACACUAAUUCCCUUUUUUGUUCUCACCACUUCCAUGCCCAAAAAAUACCGCAUUUAUCCCAAGUCUUUAACUUCAAUUCAGCAGCUAGAACUUUCUUCAAUCUCUCCAUUUCUACAGUAUCAUCACCAGUAAGAAUUAUAUCAUCAACAUACACUAUUAGUAUUGUUCUCUUACCCUUUUCAGACUGUUGGAAGAACAGUGUAUGAUCUGAUUGCCCUUGUCGAUAACUUUGAUUCUUUAUCACUUUUACGAAUCUGUCGAACCAUGCUCUGGGAGAUUGUUUGAGUCCAUACAAGGACUUCUUGAGUUUACACACCCUGUUUUCUUCAUCUUUCCCACUGAAUCCUGGUGGUAUAGUCAUGUAUACUUCUUUUUCCAACUCUCCAUUUAAGAAAGCAUUUUUAAUAUCAAGUUGUUGUAGCGGCCAAUUUAAGUUGACUGCCAAGGACAAGAGAACUCAAACUGUAUUUAAGUUUGCCACUGGUGCAAAUGUCUCCGUAUAGUCAAUGCCAUAAGUCUGUGUAAAACCUUUUGCAAUAAGUCUAACUUUAUAUCUUUCAACUGUUCGAUCAGAUUUAUAUUUCACUGUGAAAACCCAUUUACAACCCACUGGUUUCUUCUCGUUUGGUAGAUUUGUUAACUCCCAAGUUCCAUUUUUUUCUAGGGCUCGCAUUUCUUCCAUGACUGCCUCUCUCCAUUUAGGUAUUUCUAGAGCUUCCUGAAUGUUCUUUGGCAUUUUCAUCUUGUCAAGGUUAGAGACAAACGCACGAUAUCCUGUAGACGAGCUUUUAUAAGACAUGUAUUUAGACCAAGGGUAUUGAGUACAUGACCUGGUUUGUUUUCUGAUUGCAAUAGGUAAAUUGAUAUCAUCAGGUACAGGAUUAUCAGAAGAAAGCUCAAUUACCAGAUCGGGACUAGGCGUGGGCUCAUGGUUAUUCGGAGCCAUCACCGGUUCCAACGCUCUUGGUGCCUCAACUAUGAGAUUCUCCCUGUUCUUUGUUUUUGGCUUUCUUGAGUAAAACAAGUAUGUCUGCAUUGUUUUGUUUUCCUGUAUCUCCCCCUGAGGUUAAGUGUUCUGUUGUGUUUGGCAGGUCGGGAAGUAAUGCAAUGGAAGACUCGAUAGAUGGGUCAGGGAAUGAAGCAACAGGAGGCUCAAUGAGUGGUGCUGGUGUAGACUCAGUAGUAAAGAGGCCAAAGAACCGAUCUUCACUCCAUUUCUCCCCCUGAAGAGAGGGCUUUGAGAAAUAAGGAGUGGUUUCAAAGAAAGUAACAUCAAGACUAACAAACAGUCUUUUGGAGACUGGAUCAUAGCAUUUGUAGCCUUUUUGGGUAGGAGAAUAACCAAGGAAGACACAUUUAAUGGCACGAGGAUCCAAUUUAUCUCGGUGGUGUGCAUGAACAUGAACAAAAGCAGUACAACCAAAGAUUUUCAGCGGGAGACUGGAGAUGAGUUGAGAGGUAGGAAAAUGUUCCUGGAAUUUCUGAAGAGGGGUGACAAAGGAAAGAACUCGACUCGGUAUACGAUUAAUGAGAUGUGUGGCUGUUAAGAUGACAUAGCCCCAAAAAUAAUGCUUCAUAUUGGUAGUGAACAUUAAUGCCCGGGUUACUUCAAGUAUAUGUCUAUUUUUUCGUUCAGCAACCCCAUUUUAUUGAGGGGUAUCCACACAAGAACUCUGAUGAACAAUCCCAUUUUCUUGAAGAUAAGUUCCCAGAAUAGUAUUGAAAUAUUCCGUACCAUUAUUAGUACGUAAAAUUUGAAUAUGAGUUUGGAACUGUGUAUGAAUCAUGGAAUGAAAACUAAUGAAAAAGGAGCGGACUUCAGGUUUGUCUUUAAGUAGACCCAACAAAGACGAGUAUGGUCAUCAAUAAAGGUAACGAAUCAUUUUCGAUUGAGAGAACGUGAAAGGCCCCACAAAUCAUUGUGAAACAUAGUAAAUGAGUGAGAUGGUUUGUAUAUGGAUGAUGGGAAAGAAGUACAACGAUGUUUUGCAAGUUCACACACUUCACAUUGAAACUCAGAAGACAGUUUAUUUGAACAAACAAAGGAAACAAACAUUUUAAAUAUUGGAAAUAAGGAUGACCCAUCCUUGAAUGCCAUAACAAAAGUUCACUAUCUCUAAAAAUAGAUGCAGAAUCACAAAUUGUAGUAUUACAUAGUUCACUCAAUCUUGCCUCCUCAAAGUAGUAGAGUCCCUCAUACGUCUUAGCAGUGCCAAUCAUCUUCCCCGAUGAUAGGUUCUAAAAAACACAAUGAGAGGAAACAAAUUUAGCAGAACAAUUUGAGUCUUUUGUUAACUGACUGAUGGAUAACAGGUUGCAAGAUAACUUGGGAACAUGUAGGACAGAUUGUAAAGUUAUGGAGUCAGAUAUGCGAAUACUUCCUUUUCCAGCAAUUGGUGAGAGAGAGCCAUAUGCAAUUUUUACUCUUAAAUUCCCAACAUAUGGUGAGUAGGAUGAAAACCAUUGAUAAAAACCAGUCAUAUGAUCAGCUGCAGCUGAGUCAAUCAUCCAUGGAGAUUUGUAAUAGGAUGUAGUAUUUAAAGCCGACAGAUAAUUACCUCGGUGAGCUAGGGAACUAGAGGAAGACCGACCCGAUGUUUGAAUUGAUGAAAACAUUUUAUACAGCUGAUCUUACUAUUCAAGACUGAAUGUACUACUUGAAGAAGUAUUGAUUUUUUCUCCGUGUAAUUUUUCAGUUGACCCGUCGGAGCUAGCCUGGUACCCAUGAUUUUUUUGGUGUUGUCUCGGCUUCCAAUCUACCGGUUUUCCAUGAAUCUCCCAGCAGGUAUCUUUUAAAUGACCUGUUUUUCGGCAAUGUUUGCACCAUAAUUUACCUUUUUGUGGUCAUUGACCGGAUCCCCCUGGGCCUUUUGAUACAAGGGCCGAAACAUCAAGCCCAUUAGUGUGCCCAUCUAAUUUUUUGGCAGAUACAGGUACGGGUAGAUGAUCCAACCCAACACGAUCAUUUUGGGGCAGCAUCACACGCCUCCUGUUCUCCUCCCUCCUAACCUCUGCGAAGACCUCUCGGGUGGAAAGAAGAGGUCGCCAGCCAAGAAUGCGUCCCCUCACGUCGUCAAGUUCUCGGUUUAGGCCGGCGAGAAACUCGAAGACCCUUUCGUUUUCGAGUCUCCUUCGGUAUCGUGUACUGUCGCCGGAACACUCCCACUCCUCGUCGAUGCCCAGGCCGAGCUCCUGCCAGAGAUGGGUCAUCUCCAUGAAAUACUCGAUGUCCUUCGCCGUUGGCAAGAACAGGUAGACCUUUUCGAUUGACGGCUGCAUCGAGUUGACGAACCAAGCAGUGACCAUGGAGUUCUCGGACCUCCAUUUUUGCAAGGCUACGACGUCGGUGGAGUCUGGUUUCCUUCGUUUGCCGGUAAGAUAACCUAGCCUCCCUUUUCCUUCAAUCACCAAUUUUAUGGAUUGAGCCCACUCACGGAAAUUUUUUACGUUUAAUUUCUCUAAUGAGAGUGGAAAGGCUGUGUUAUCUAGCCCAUUCGAACCUCCAACGGACGUGGCCUCUGAGUCACCGUCGAUAUUUGCCGAAGAGGUCAACCCUCUGCUGUUGAUGGUGCCGUUGGCCAUGGUUAGCUAAGGUUGAUAAACCCUAGCUCUGAUACCAUGUAAGCGGAAGCUUUGAAUCUUUUUAUUCAAGCAUAAGCAUGUUCAUAUGUACAUCCCAAUAUAUAAUACUAUUACCUAUCUUGAACAAGGAAACAAUCCCCUUACUGAAUAAAAUCAAAUCGCCUAUAUUUACCCACUUUCCUAAUUUGUGUAUUAUUUACAAUGAUACUUGGGAUUGGGAUUUUAACACAACUACAAUAGCAUAUCCAUGCAUUUCCCUGUUUGUUGGCUUGAGCAUGGACUGGGCCAAACUAGUCCAAGCCAUUAGAUUAACAAAAAUUGCCUUGCCUCAGACCUGGUGUGGUGCUUCCAUUGGGCCUCGCUUCAUUGUCCAGGCCUACCUCCAUAAAAUUGGCCAUGCUCUGACCCUCCUUUUUUUCUUCCAUAUUGUUUACUGCAAUUGCAAAUACUAGGGCCUGUCCCAACCAAUUAUUGGGCUGGGCAGGUUGCUCAGUCCAUGGUCUGGUCUACCUACAUGUAGUGUACAUCUCUCAUUUUUUUGGGUGUACACGUGUGGUGCCAGUGCCAUUUUUUAAAAUCCUCUUGCUCAUGAUUGAAAUUAUACCGUCCCCAGUCUCAUAUUGAUAGAUGUUAGAGGUAAAUAUGACUUUUACAUUUUUUUUGUUUUCAAGGUUCUAGCAAAUUGUAUAAUCAAAGAUUGUACAAAUGUGAAGAAUGUGUUCUUUUAUAUUUCAUUUUUAAUACCUCCCAGGUCUUAUUUUCAAUUAUGUAAGAGGUAAAGAUUUUAAAACUAACAUCUAGAUUCCCCCCCUCCCCCCCACCCCAAAUUGUAUAAUCAAAGAUUGUACAAAUGUGAAGAAUGUGAUCUUUAAUAUUUCAUUUUUAGUACCUUCCAAGUCUUAUAUUCAAUGAUGCAUGCAGUAAAGAUUUUAAAACUAACAUCUAGUUCCCCCCUCCCCAUUACACUUUUAUAUUUCAUUUUUUUAUACAAGGAGUAUUCUAAUUAUUGUAAUGUUUAGUAGCAUUACCAAAACAAGUUUAGUUUGGUGCAAAGAGACUUGAGAGUGUACUAUUGUGUUUUACUUAUGCCAAAAAGUGGAUGAAAUGCUUAAAGCUCAUGUUGUUUAUGAUUAUAAUUUUUAAAAUGUUGUUUUGGAUGUAUUGGAUUUCCUUUGCAGCUUUGCUGUUUCAGAUUGUGGUCUUUAUGACUGAAUGUUCUUGUUCUUUUGUUAACAACUAUUGCAGCAUAGAAAUUACAGGUUAAUGGGUCUAGUUAUGGCUGUUGAAGCAGAUAAAAUAUCAACAUUUCGACAACAGUUGCGGUCUUUGAUAGAUGAACCGUAAGGCUAUCAAGCAGCAACGUACAAGUACCUUGUUUUCCUUUUCUAUCUACAAGGCUACUAGAGUUCUUAUUUUAUUUAUCUGAGUCAUAUUUUUCUUGUGCUUAUAGCAUCGUGGAUUCCUAGUUCUGGUGUCCACAUUUUUGUAGGUUUUUUUUUUUGUUUUUAUGGGCAUUGUAGUUGAAAUUUGGUUUUGUUUUCGGUCUGUGUGGGGCUGUAGGGACCCUAUCCUUUGGCCAACACCCUCUCAAGCUUAAUUGCAUCGAGUCCACAUGUAUAAAAUUGUAUUAUUUUUAAAUCUUCCAGUCAAACAGUUUGGAUUUAAGUUAAAUUAAUUUGGAAAAAAAGAUCCUCUUCUGUAA